rnacentral:rRNA from 1 species
GAAUCGCGAUAAGUAAUGUGAAUUGCAGAUCUUCCGUGAAUCAUCGAAUCUUUGAACGCACCUUGCGCUCCUCGGUAUUCCGAGGAGCAUGCCUGUCUGAGCGUCUGGAUACUCUCGGUUCCGAGAUCUUUCGGGGUAUCGGAACCGGAACUUGGGAGCUUGCGGGCGUCCUCGGUUGAGAGGACGUCGGCUCUCCUGAAAUGCAUUAGCGGAGAGGGAACAGCACCCGAAGCCAAGUGAUGGAGUGCGACCCUUUUUCCCUCGGCGUCGUAAGGAUCGUCGUGGGCAGCUCGGGGAAGUGCGAGCGGGGUUUCGGGUGAUGGCAUGUCUCACGCUGCUAGCAUGGUCGGCGAGCCUCACGGGUCGUCGGACACAUUUUCAGGACUCGGCCUCAGAUCAGGCAGGGCUACCCGCUGAACUUAA